rnacentral:rRNA from 1 species
UACGUAGGGGGCAAGCGUUAUCCAGAUUUAUUGGGCGUAAAGGGCGCGUAGGCGGCUUGAUGUGUCAAAGGUGAAAUCCCUCGGCUCAACUGAGGAACUGCCUUUGAAACUGUUUGGCUUGAGGCCGGGAGAGGGUAGCGGAAUUCCCAGUGUAGCGGUGAAAUGCGUAGAUACUGGGAGGAACACCGGUGGCGAAGGCGGCUACCUGGACCGGUUCUGACGCUGAUGCGCGGAAGCGUGGGUAGCAAACAGG